GGUUUGUGGCUCAGUGGCAGAGCACUCACCUAGCAUGUGUGAGGCCCUGGGUUCAAUCCUUAGCACCA
rnacentral:tRNA from 1 species